AUUGAACGCUGGCGGCAGGCCUAACACAUGCAAGUCGAACGAGUCGCGGACGGGUGAGUAAUGUCUGGGACACUGCCUGAUGGAUGGGGUUAACUACUGGAAACGGUAGCUACAACCGCCCACAUUCAGCUGUGCCCAGUUGGGAUUAGCUAGUUGGUGGGGUAACGGCUUACCAAGGCGACGAUCCCUAGCUGGUCUGAGAGGAUGACCAGCCAAACUGGAACUGAGACACGGUCCAGACUCCUACGGGAGGCAGCAGUGGGGAAUAUUGGACAAUGGGCGCAAGCCUGAUGCAGCCAUGCCGCGUGUAUGAAGAAGGCCUUCGGGUUGUAAAGUACUUUCAGCGGGGAGGCGUUACCCACAGAAGAAGCACCGGCUAACUCCGUGCCAGCAGCCGCGGUAAUUC
rnacentral:rRNA from 1 species